rnacentral:rRNA from 1 species
AGGGAAUCUUCCACAAUGGACGAAAGUCUGAUGGAGCAACGCCGCGUGAGUGAUGAAGGUUUUCGGAUCGUAAAACUCUGUUGUAAGGGAAGAACCAGUACGUCAGGCAAUGGACGUACCUUGACGGUACCUUAUUAGAAAGCCACGGCUAACUACGUGCCAGCAGCCGCGGUAAUACGUAGGUGGCAAGCGUUGUCCGGAAUUAUUGGGCGUAAAGCGCGCGCAGGUGGUUUCUUAAGUCUGAUGUGAAAGCCCACGGCUCAACCGUAGUGAGCCUCUGAAACUGGUGAACUUGAGUGUAGGAGAGGAAAGUGGAAUUCCCAGUGUAGCGGUGAAAUGCGUAGAUAUUGGGAGGAACACCAGUGGCGAAGGCGACUUUCUGGACUACAACUGACGCUGAGGCACGAAAGCGUGGGGAGCAAACA